GUGCCAGCCGCCGCGGUAAUACAGAGGUCCCAAGCGUUGUUCGGAUUCACUGGGCGUAAAGGGUGCGUANGUGGCCAGGUAAGUCGGUGUGAAAGCUCGAGCUUAACUUCAAAUGUCAUUGAAUACUAUCUGGCUAGAGGGUCGGAGGGGAGACUGGAAUUCUCGGUGUAGCCAGUGAAAUGCGUAGAUAUCGAGAGGAACACCAGUGGCGAAGGCGAGUCUCUGGACGACACCUGACACUGAGGCACGAAAGCUAGGGGAGCAAACAGGAUUAGAUACCCUGGUAGUCCUAGCUGUAAACGGUGCACGUUUGCUGUAAGAGGAAUCGACCCCUUUUGUGGCGAAGCUAACGCGCUAAACGUGCCGCCUGGGGAGUACGGUCGCAAGAUUAGAACUCAAGGAAAUUGACGGGGGCCUGCACAAGCGGUGGAGUAUGUGGCUUAAUUCGAUGCAACGCGAAGAACCUUACCUGGCCUUGACAUGCACGUGGUAGGAGCCUGAAAGGGUAACGAUCCCGCAAGGGAAGCGUGCACAGGUGCUGCAUGGCUGUCGUCAGCUCGUGUCGUGAGAUGUUGGGUUAAGUCCCGCAACGAGCGCAACCCUUGUGUCCUGUUGCCACCCUAACGAGAGUUGGGAGCACUCUGGACAGACUGGCUCGCUUAAACGAGGAGGAACGUGGGGAUGACGGCCAA
rnacentral:rRNA from 1 species